rnacentral:rRNA from 1 species
UACGUAGGCAGCGAGCGUUGUUCGGAAUUACUGGGCGUAAAGAGUGUGUAGGCGGUGCUCUAAGUUCGGUGUGAAAUCUCCUGGCUCAACUGGGAGGGUGCGCCGGAAACUGGAGUGCUUGAGCGUGGGAGAGGAAAGCGGAAUUCCUGGUGUAGCGGUGGAAUGCGCAGAUAUCAGGAGGAACACCGGUGGCGAAGGCGGGUCUCUGGGCCGUUACUGACGCUGAGGAGCGAAAGCGUGGGGAGCGAACAGG